rnacentral:rRNA from 1 species
CCCGCCGAGGACGAGCCCGACAAGGAGGACAGGAAGCCGUGGGAGGUCACGGGAGGAGGGACCGACGAAGGCCACGGCGGCAAGAGCUGAGGGCGGGACCCUCGGCGGGCUCCAGCC